GUUACAUUGAUUUAAAACAUUUAUUCAAAUAAUACAAUUUGCAUUUAAUUCAUUAUAUCUUCCAACAACCUUUGUAGCCAGACAAAUUACAACUGCUGAUAACAUUGUUAAGUAUGAGGGCUUGAAGGACAGACAAUAAUGAUCCUAAAUCAUAAUCCAUCCUUUUUUAUUUAAGACAGCAAAGCCCCUUUGAAAUCUAUUUUAUAUUGCCAGUCAGCUUCUUUUACACUUCCUCUUAAGAACAAAAUUAGUGUUAUUUGCAGACUUAACGUUCAUCAUGCAAUCUUCGAAUCCACCACCAUGUCUAUCACAUGAGAACCUGUUUUGAAUAUGAAUGUUGUUUUUUUUAGAUGAACCAUUUAAAAAAACAGCAUAAACUUAUCCUUUAAAAGAAGCUAUUCCUGGAUUUACAUGCAGACUCAUGAUGAGCUUAUUAUACACAAGAGUCUGUAAACCAGAGAACAGUUGGCAAUCAAUGUAACAGAUAUCAUACAGGUAUGAAUUUAUCUUAAAGACAAUGUGAAACAAACAAUUGACUGCAUUUCUGGACCAACAAUAAGUUACAAACUUUUUCAUUUCAAAUUAUCUAUGAGUUCUAGUUAUAGGGCAGAGGAGAGGAGAAUGGAGUUGAAACAAUUUUAAAUUGAGUGAUCAAUAAGCUCACAGCACAGGCCAAGAUAAUAAUUUCAAAAAGCAAUGAACAUGUUCAGUUAUGUAUUGUCACACAUAUCAUCAAACAACAAAAUCCUCAAUAUCACACACGCUAAACAGUCUAGUUUGGCAGCAGCAGGGAGAGGGGGG